rnacentral:rRNA from 1 species
UACAGAGGUGGCAAGCGUUGUUCGGAAUUACUGGGCGUAAAGGGCGCGUAGGCGGCCAUCUAAGUCAGACGUGAAAUCCCCCGGCUUAACCUGGGAACUGCGUCUGAUACUGGAAGGCUUGAGUAUGGGAGAGGGAUGUAGAAUUCCAGGUGUAGCGGUGAAAUGCGUUGAUAUCCACAGGAACUCCGGUGGCGAAGGCGGCACGCUGGACCCUCUCUGACGCUGAGGCGCGAAAGCCAGGGGAGCGAACGGG